AUUGAACGCUGGCGGCAGGCCUAACACAUGCAAGUCGAGCGGAUGACGGGAGCUUGCUCCUUGAUUCAGCGGCGGACGGGUGAGUAAUGCCUAGGAAUCUGCCUGGUAGUGGGGGACAACGUUUCGAAAGGAACGCUAAUACCGCAUACGUCCUAAGGGCGAAAGCAGGGGAGCUUCGGGCCUUCCGCUAUCAGAUGAGCCUAGGUCGGAUUAGCUAGUUGGUGGGGUAAUGGCUCACCAAGGCGACGAUCCGUAACUGGUCUGAGGGGAUGAUCAGUCACACUGGAACUGAGACACGGUCCAGACUCCUACGGGAGGCAGCAGUGGGGAAUAUUGGACAAUGGGCGAAAGCCUGAUCCAGCCAUGCCGCGUGUGUGAAGAAGGUCUUCGGAUUGUAAAGCACUUUAAGUUGGGAGGAAGGGCAGUAAGCUAAUACCUUGCUGUUUUGACGUUACCGACAGAAUAAGCACCGGCUAACUCUGUGCCAGCAGCCGCGGUAA
rnacentral:rRNA from 1 species